rnacentral:SRP_RNA from 3 species
GCGGCAAAUCGGUACGACCAGCUCCUGCUGAAUCCCCCAGGUCCGGAAGGAAGCAAGGGUAAGCGGUUGUAGCGGUGCGAUAUUCGGUUUGCCAUUUU